CUGUUCCUGGCUCUGCACAAAGGCAAUAAGAGAGGGAUGGUGCUAAGAAGGAUGGCGUGCUGCUGUGGAAGAUGCUGGACUGAAAUUCAGAAGGCCAAAGAUGCAGUGGUCUCAUAGGAGAUAACCCUAAGGAAUAUCUUGGAUGUCUUCACGGGGCUUAUGACUUAUUCUGAGGCUUGCAAAAUAGAGGCCCCCAGCUGAACAAAGACAGGGCUGCAGCGCCGAGGGAACAGCUGCCGGACCCACAGGAGAGGCCUCCUGGAGCACGCCGGGACUCCCUCCACCCCCUGGCUUUGGCUGCAUCCAUGGCUAGUUUGCCUGAACUAUAUCUGAGCCACUGAGAGUAUUUAUUAAGCAGAGAAUAAUUUUGAGUUUCACUUUUAUAACUUUUGUUUCAAAAGUUGUUUUGGAUAAUUUAAUGAAAUGACUGUAAACCAGAAUUCCCCUUUUCAUUAUUUCUUUGUGUCGAUAUAAAAAGAGUUGAUGAUUUUAAAAGCCAGUGAGAUGUCCCUGUCUGUGGGUGUCAGUGGGAGCAUGGGGUCUGACGCCUUUCUCUGGUGGCUGUCCAGGAAGAUUGCCCCAGCUUGCACUCCCUUUUGGCGGGUUCCAGAGCCUUCCAUUUGAAAGGAGCAUCUCUCCCCACUCUGCCCCACCCAGCACCAGCUCUUCUGGAACCCACUGACUUCCUAAACACUUUCUUCCUCCUUCACCUCAUUGAAUUCAAGACUUGAGAAAACAGCCAAAAACUCUAGAGGUGGGGGUGGGUUCGAUCUGGAAAUCCCUGCUGUAAUCGUUUUAAGGGAAUCCACUGGAAAUUAUUAAUUUAUGUUUUAAAUAAAACCAUUCCUUACUUCACAGAAUAUUAAGCCACUCAUUUUUUAACAGAACUUUCGAGAUAUAAUUAAAAUGCCAUAAAUUUCACCCCCACACAGUGUACAGUUCCAAGGUUUCCAAUAUAGUCACAGAGGUCUCUGCAACAAUUACCACAAUUUUAGACAUGAAGACCAUUUGUUGGCAGCCCUACCUGCCUCUAUGUGUAUGUAUAUAAUUUUAAUAUUGGAUUGGAUAUUAUAGUAUGUAAUAUUGUACUGUUACCUAUUUGUGUCUUUAUAUUGCUGUUUUUUAUUCAGGUGAAUAAUAAUUAUCUCCAUAUAGUCAUACAUUUAUAUAGGGUUAAACACACCUUUUUAUAAUUCAAUAAAUUAAAUUGGUCAGGUGUGGUGGCUCACACCUGUAAUCCCAGCACUUUGGGAGGCCAAGGCGGGUGGAUCACCUGAGGUUGGGAGUUUGAGACCAGCCUGACCAACAUGGAGAAACCCUGUCUGUACUAAAAAUACAAAAAAUUAGCCGGGUGUGGUGGCUCAUGCCUGUAAUCCCAGCUACUCGGGAGGCUGAGGCAGGAGAAUCACUCGAACCGAGGAGGCGGACGUUGCAGUGAGCCGGGAUCGCACCAUUGCACUCCAGCCUGGGCAACAAGAGCAAAACUCCAUCUCAAGAAAAAAAAAAAAAAAAGAAAGUAAAUUGUUUUUAAUUACAUAAGAAA